UAGACCUGAGGUCAGGCAAGACCACCCGCUGAACUUAAGCAUAUCAAUAAGCGNAGGAAAAGANNCUANCCAGGAUUCCCC
rnacentral:rRNA from 1 species